rnacentral:siRNA from 1 species
AGGUCUAUUUUGCGUGGUCAACA